AUACGGAGGGUGCAAGCGUUACUCGGAAUCACUGGGCGUAAAGCGCGCGCAGGCGGCUUGAUAAGUUGGAUGUGAAAGCCUACGGCUCAACCGUAGAACUGCAUCCAAAACUGUCAGGCUAGAGUGUGGGAGAGGAAGAUGGAAUUAGUUGUGUAGGGGUAAAAUCCGUAGAGAUAACUAGGAAUACCAAAAGCGAAGGCAAUCUUCUGGAACACUACUGACGCUGAGGCGCGAAGGCGUGGGGAGCAAACAGGAUUAGAAACCCGAGUAGUCC
rnacentral:rRNA from 1 species